AGACCCGGUGUAGCCACUCGGGCCAGGCUGCUCUGCGAAGCUGCUGUUUCCUCUGCUGCCGAAGCGGUUUCUUCCACCCAGGGCGGUGCGGUGGUUUGGCGACUUAGAGGUUUGGAGGUCCCUUCUUCCUAAGAGUUAACUGUCCUGAAAAAGCCCAAAACAAGAGCGGCAUGAUCUUAAAUCCUGGGGAGAGGACACAGGCUGCCUGGAGGGGCCGAGGGCACACCUAGAGCUGGGGUUUUGUUCUCACUCUGUUGCCCAGGCUGCAGCACAGUGGUGCGAUCUCGGCUCACUGCAGCCUCAACCUCGCUGGGCUCAGAUGAUCCUCCCACCUUAGCCUCCUGAGAAGCUGGGACUACAGGCACGUGCCACCACAUCUGGCUAAUUUUUUGUAAUUUGUAGAGACAGGGUUUCACCAUGUUGUCCAGGCUGGUCUUGAACUCCUGGGCUCAAGCAGUCUGCCUGCCCUGGCCCCCCAAAGUGCUGGGAUUACAGGCGUGCGCCACCGCGCCUGACCAAAGAGCUGGGUUUUGAUUCCACAUGUGGAGGAGGUGCCUGCCUAGGGCUGACUGGGAAAAGUGUCUAGGGCUGAGCUCACAAAGUGAUGAGCUCCCCGUUGCCAGAGGGCUUCAAGCUGAGGCUGAGUGAGACGAAGCACGAUGGAGUGAACGGUAUCCCUGUGUUGGAAGGAGGGUGGGUUAUGUGAAAAGUGUCCCUUGUGGAAAAGAGGAAAAUAGCCCAGCCCUGGGCUCCAC
rnacentral:lncRNA from 1 species